ACAACACAGGUUUAUUAUUAAGUGGCAUGGUUGCACGUCGAUAGCUUUGCAUUAGUUCUCUCCUUAUUCAAGCUAUAAAUAAUUUUCCAAUAUUGUUUCAUCCUCGCACGCGUAAGCGCCCAUAAGCCACGUUGAGCGAUAGUUUUCUCUUCGUACACAUUAAAAAUAUCAUCUUGAGGAGGGAUCACAGCCUAUGGCUAAUGGAAAACUGCUCUAUAAUAAUAUCUUUCGUGGCCUCGUUGCAACACACUUUUCAAUACGAAUGAAUAUUAAAGUGUGACGUACUGUUAUCAGCAAUAUUAAUCACUAUUUUUAAACAAAGUGUUUGCCAAUAAGGACAAGGUUACCUUGUACAUACUCAGAGAAGUGAAUCUUAGAAAUGGACAGUUGCAUUAUUUCUCUAAUGGAUGGGAUGGAUGAAAUUAACGUUCCUUUGACCUUACAUUUCGUUGAUGAAUAUCGAAAUAUAUAUAUGUAUACAGCUAACAUUCUUGCAUGCUCCAUUAUGUCUCCAGUGGCGACUCAAUGAGAUUGGUUGAUAAUUUAGUUCUCGUGAUGUCACGUGAUUAUAUUAAAAAUUACAUUUUUAUAUACGCAAAAUGAGUAGACUGGAAGUAGGAUAAAGAAUAAUUCAAGAAAAAGAAAUCAAAAUCAUUUAAAAAUUAUAAACUAUUCCAUAUAUAAAUAAUAUUAUAUAAUUUAAUAAUAUUAAUCUUUCUUAAAUUUGUUUGGCGAUUGUAAUAAGUUGCAAUAGAAUUCAUACAAAUUCAUAAAAAUAUAGCAAAUAUAAUUAAGUAAAUAUUUUGUCUUUAAACCAUUUUCUUAUAUCUCUAAAACAUUUCUUACAAAAUUCACAGUCCAAUUAUUACUUUUGAUCUCAGUUUAACCCUUUGUGCAUAUUUUUUUGGAAUAUAUUCUAGAAUCCAAUGAAACCAACUGAAAAGACACCACAAAGUGUCUGUUUUAAGUGGUUCUAAAAAAAAAAAAAAAAAAGAGCAUGGCCGAUCUUGGUGACGUUUUCCUCGGAUGUGAUUCUACGAACCACUCUUUGUACGUCUGUUGGCAGUGAGCCGAAUGAGACGCAACUGUCCCGAACAAUUCAACUCCUGAUCUUAACUUUGUAGAAUUCACUCCAUUAAAUUGUAAGUUUAAGUAGUUACAAAUGCAAUUUAAAGAGAUAAGCGUUCAACCUGUUACUAUAUCUAUAUAAUUUGGAAAUUGAUAGAGUUCCAAUUCCAAUAGUUCGACGUAUCGGCACGAAUACUACUCAUAUUGUAUUGCACUCAUAUCGUAUAUUCGCAAGAUUUUUCUAUCAUUUUGUAAUUAUACAUUAUUGUAUAAUAUUAAACUGACUGUUGCGUUACGUUGUUAACGAUGUAUAAUGCUUCGACAAGAUUGUCCAUUGUUUCUUCGAAACAAUGCCGAUCGUACAAUCUACUGGAAAUCCGUCAAAACUUCUGCAUUCAUCCAAUAUUAUACGAAUACGAUACGAUAAUAUUUAUAUUUAAAAGCGCACAAUAAUGUUUCACAAAAAAUAAAGGAAAUUCUCGCGCUAAAUCUUACUUAAUGUCAUGGAUCUAUCGAACAUUUGUAAAAUGAUUUGUAAAAUGAAUACGUAUGUUGUAAUUAAAUCUAUUGUUAUUAUAUAAGUUCAUAAAAUAUAAAGAUACGAGAGCGGAGAAGAAAAGGGAGAAAGGAAAGAAGAAAAAUUUGUCCGCAUUUGCAAAAAGGUUAAUAAUGAAAAAUAUCUCCAGUAUUAUCCUACUUACUUUUCGCUGAUGCGUGCUCCCCAAUGCUCAUUGUUGCUUAACGACAACAUGUCACAUUUCUCGUUACACCGCGGUUAAUAAAAGUCCCAUCACCAGUCACCGGCAUCUUGGCUCUCGUGAACAUGAUGACGGGCAGAGAAUUCUAUUUUUCAUCGAUCGAAUCUUGUACGGAGUUGCAUUCUUCCUCGAAGGAUAUCACAUCAGAAUACAAUACAAUAUAACAAGAUUAUUAAAAAAUUAAAAAUCACUUCGAUAAAAUGAUAGUAAUAAAAUCUCUGUUAUAACUGUGAAAAUUUCACGAUCUGAUCGAAACAAGAUAUUCUUGAAAGGAAUAUGCUAUUGUAAUAUUAAAAAACGUUUGAACAUUGGCUAUUCCUGAUAAACGUUUUAUUUGGAGGUUUUAUUUGGAAAAGAAUGGAAAUUAUAUACUCAAUUUUUUUAAUCGAUGAAGCAAAAGAUUAAUCCUAAUCCACUCGUAUUAUAUGACUAUCGUAUGUGUAAUACAUCGAAUUUUAUUCAUUUGUUUACGAAUUUUUUUUCGUAAUUAAUACAUGCUCGUUCAAUGUCUAUUUAACAAAAAUUAAAUAAUUAUUCGAUGAAGCUAUUUCAAUUCGAGGAAUACGAUUUAAUGCGAAUUUUUUAAUCUUGAUUGGAAAUUUUUAAACUUGAAUCACAGUAUAUAUUAUAAUUAAUAACUGCAUUUUUUCCAUUCGAAGAAUUUUACAAUGUUUGAAAGAAGCUUGUAAGUAUUUAAACAAAUAUUGAAUUAAUUAACUCGUACUAUAGAAGUUUGAAAAGUGAAGCCUUUUUAUUUUGUCUGUUUAGCACCGAAAAAGCGUUCGAUAAGAAUUAUAAUAAGAAAUAUUCGAAAUGAAUUAAUUACUGUUAAAAAACAGUGAAUUCGAAUAUAAAAUUAUUACAUAAAGUAACGAUUAAAUAGAUAAAUUAUUUUUUUUAUUUAAUAAUAUAGCGUAUGGAAAAAUGAUAAUAUGGAAAAUAUAAUAAUUAAAAUGAAUUAGAAAAAUAAUAUUUGACAACUGAAAAUGUCGUCUUUUCCAUUUCGUUGAAGAUUAAAAAGACAAAUACUAAAUCUAGAACUCAGGAAAACUUCAAGAAACUCGUAGUUUGAAUUACGGAUUCUUUAAACACUUGAAUAAUUCUUUUUUUUUUUUUUUUUUUCUUUCAGAUUUCAAUUAUCAAAGUUUUAUGAUAUCUUAGCUGACAUAAUAACCUUCUUCAUUACGAAUUAUUACUUUUAGUUUUAUGUUCAU